rnacentral:lncRNA from 1 species
GGAGCACAACGUCGAAAGCAGCCGUUGGGAGCCCAGGAGGCGGGGCGCCUGUGGGAGCCGUGGAGGGAACUUUCCCAGUCCCCGAGGCGGAUCCGGUGUUGCAUCCUUGGAGCGAGCUGAGAGCUCGAGGUGAGCUGGGCUCGCGGUCGCCCCUCUCGCGCGCCCUCUUUAAGAACCACGGCGUCCAACCUCCCUGGAAAUGGGGGGAACAUGGCCGAGGCGCGUGGCGAGGCCGCCUCGUGGAGGCCCCGGAGCGGCAUCCUCAGCGCCCCAGCGAUCCGGUGCCCAUUAGAACCUGCUAAGGCCAUCAAACCUAUUGAUCGGAAGUCAGUCCAUCAGAUUUGCUCUGGGCCGGUGGUACCGAGUCUAAGCACUGCGGUGAAGGAGUUAGUAGAAAACAGUCUGGAUGCUGGUGCCACUAAUAUUGAUCUAAAGCUUAAGGACUAUGGAGUGGAUCUCAUUGAAGUUUCAGGCAAUGGAUGUGGGGUAGAAGAAGAAAACUUCGAAGGCUUAACUCUGAAACAUCACACAUCUAAGAUUCAAGAGUUUGCCGACCUACCUCAGGUUGAAACUUUUGGCUUUCGGGGGGAAGCUCUGAGCUCACUUUGUGCACUGAGUGAUGUCACCAUUUCUACCUGCCAUGUAUCGGCGAAGGUUGGGACUCGACUGGUGUUUGAUCACUAUGGGAAAAUCAUCCAGAAAACCCCCUACCCCCACCCCAGAGGGAUGACAGUCAGUGUGAAGCAGUUAUUUUCUACGCUACCUGUGCACCAUAAAGAAUUUCAAAGGAAUAUUAAGAAGAAACGUGCCUGCUUCCCCUUCGCCUUCUGCCGUGAUUGUCAGUUUCCUGAGGCCUCCCCAGCCAUGCUUCCUGUACAGCCUGCAGAACUGACUCCUAGAAGUACCCCACCCCACCCCUGCUCCUUGGAGGACAACGUGAUCACUGUAUUCAGCUCUGUCAAGAAUGGUCCAGGUUCUUCUAGAUGAUCUGCACAAAUGGCUCCUCUCCUCCUUCCUGAUGUCUGCCAUUAGCACUGGAAUAAAGUUCCUGCUGAAAAUCCACA